rnacentral:rRNA from 1 species
CAGGCUUAACACAUGCAAGUCGAGGGGCAGCAUUUCAGUUUGCUUGCAAACUGGAGAUGGCGACCGGCGCACGGGUGAGUAACACGUAUCCAACCUGCCGAUAACUCGGGGAUAGCCUUUCGAAAGAAAGAUUAAUACCCGAUGGUAUAAUCAGACCGCAUGGUCUUGUUAUUAAAGAAUUUCGGUUAUCGAUGGGGAUGCGUUCCAUUAGGCAGUUGGUGAGGUAACGGCUCACCAAACCUUCGAUGGAUAGGGGUUCUGAGAGGAAGGUCCCCCACAUUGGAACUGAGACACGGUCCAAACUCCUACGGGAGGCAGCAGUGAGGAAUAUUGGUCAAUGGGCGCAGGCCUGAACCAGCCAAGUAGCGUGAAGGAUGACUGCCCUAUGGGUUGUAAACUUCUUUUAUAUGGGAAUAAAGUUUUCCACGUGUGGAAUUUUGUAUGUACCAUAUGAAUAAGGAUCGGCUAACUCCGUGCCAGCAGCCGCGGUAAUACGGAGGAUCCGAGCGUUAUCCGGAUUUAUUGGGUUUAAAGGGAGCGUAGGUGGACAGUUAAGUCAGUUGUGAAAGUUUGCGGCUCAACCGUAAAAUUGCAGUUGAUACUGGCUGUCUUGAGUACAGUAGAGGUGGGCGGAAUUCGUGGUGUAGCGGUGAAAUGCUUAGAUAUCACGAAGAACUCCGAUUGCGAAGGCAGCUCACUGGACUGCAACUGACACUGAUGCUCGAAAGUGUGGGUAUCAAACAGGAUUAGAUACCCUGGUAGUCCACACAGUAAACGAUGAAUACUCGCUGUUUGCGAUAUACAGUAAGCGGCCAAGCGAAAGCAUUAAGUAUUCCACCUGGGGAGUACGCCGGCAACGGUGAAACUCAAAGGAAUUGACGGGGGCCCGCACAAGCGGAGGAACAUGUGGUUUAAUUCGAUGAUACGCGAGGAACCUUACCCGGGCUUAAAUUGCAUUUGAAUAUAUUGGAAACAGUAUAGCCGUAAGGCAAAUGUGAAGGUGCUGCAUGGUUGUCGUCAGCUCGUGCCGUGAGGUGUCGGCUUAAGUGCCAUAACGAGCGCAACCCUUAUCUUUAGUUACUAACAGGUCAUGCUGAGGACUCUAGAGAGACUGCCGUCGUAAGAUGUGAGGAAGGUGGGGAUGACGUCAAAUCAGCACGGCCCUUACGUCCGGGGCUACACACGUGUUACAAUGGGGGGUACAGAAGGCAGCUACCUGGUGACAGGAUGCUAAUCCCAAAAGCCUCUCUCAGUUCGGAUCGAAGUCUGCAACCCGACUUCGUGAAGCUGGAUUCGCUAGUAAUCGCGCAUCAGCCAUGGCGCGGUGAAUACGUUCCCGGGCCUUGUACACACCGCCCGUCAAGCCAUGAAAGCCGGGGGUACCUGAAGUACGUAACCGCAAGGAGCGUCCUAGGGUAAAACUGGU